UCACGUGACAUUUAAUUAUUCGGUAAGGGAGAAAGAGAAAAGGAGAGAAAUGGAAUGACGGUAUCAGUUUGGACUUACAGAUAACAAAAAUUAAAACAGACGAAGGAGAGGUGGCAAAAAGAGAAACAAUUAAAAAGACACGUGUUGCAAUAUAAGUGGAAACUAGAACCACAUCAUCAUGUGCUGUCAGCUUCUCAACUCUACUUUCCCUUCAAGCUGAGAACGGCCAUUCCCAUCCCUUCCAAUUAGGAUGCGACUAUAAAAGGCAGAGGAUGGUGGGAGAAGAAACACGCCACUUCCAUCUUGUUCGUUCACCCUCUGGAUCUUGUUCGAUGGCACUCCCCUUGUAUCCAAUCUCUCUCUCUCUCUCUCUCUCUCUCUCUCUCUUAUGGUGCGAGUGGAAGUGCCAUGAACUUGAUCCAGAAGGUGCUCUCGAACAAGUUACACCUACUUAAUAUCUACUUUCUUCUUUCUCCAUUACUAUUAUUAAUGAUGGUUUCUUUUUUCUGAUUCUGAUUUUUAAUUUAUUUAUUUGUUUUUUGUGUUUGUGUUUCUGGGUCUUGAAUAACAAAUAUAUAUAUAUGACUAUGUCAAUCAUGCAUGUAAUAUAGAUUUUUUUUUAAAAAAAAUUAUUUGCUCAUUUAUUUUUGACAUUCAUAAAUCUAUCCAAGUGUUCCGUUUUGAUAUUCUCUAAAGCCCAUUCUGGCGGGCUUGACUGAAUUGUUUAUAUAUAUAUAUUUAACCCAGAUUUAUAUAGAUGGUGCUUCUCAGUUGUGCGUCAAGAACUAUUUUUGGUCCCUUCGAUCAAUUGGAACUUGGAAGGCUGAGAUUUAAAAGCUAAGGAUAAAUUACUCUUUUUUUUUUUUUUUUUUUUGGGUAAGAUUUUGUUCCCCUACUGGUGCCCAAAACCACGACUUCCUCGCUGUCACUGACACUCUUUUUCUCUCCUCUCAGCAGGUUCGAAUGUUCUUCCCAAAUUUUCUUCUUUAUAAGCAUUAAUACCACUAAUACCAGUGGAGCUUUGACCCUGCCACAAGUUAUAACACUUACACUACAGUUAUCUCGCUAUUUUGGAAGCAGUUUUCCUGACUUGCAUAUUUAUUGAAACCACAGAAAUCUUCACUUUGUUGUAUUUUGAUUUAAUUGCAAUAUCACUUCUUUUUAGAAGAUUUCUUUGAAAUUGUGAGGGCCACUGCUGGCAAUGAUAUAUGGGGAAAAGAUAGAACCUGCAGUUUAUGAAGUCAAAAGAGUUUAUAUUCAGGGACUAGAGGAACAAAUAUGGUAUUGAUCCGCACCAACACCCCAGAUGAACUACUACAACUUUCUAUUACUAUAACUGACAAUUAGAACAACAGAUUAUUGGCAAUAAUUCCUUAAAAAGCCUUCUUAGAAUGUACUAAAAGAUUGAGAGUCAAGAACAAAGAUGAUAAACAGCCUUCUUUUUUUUUUUUUUUUUUCCUUCUUUUUGUUUGUUUUGGGGUUAACAUUUAUGUUGGGAUAAUCUAUGAGAAAAAAUAGUUGAUGAGGAAUCUGCCUGUAGUUGGAAGAGAGCUAAAAUUUGGCAAUUCCCUCACCUAUAAAUGUGGGAGUUAGAAGCGUCUAUAUUGUAAGUAAACACACACACUUCCAUUUUACCUUAAUCCGAUAGUAACAUGCGGACUUGUCGUCCAGAAACUAGACCAGUUUCGGAAAAGUUUAAUUAUAUUUAGGUCGAGUACUCAUUAGUAAGUUUUUCCACUAUUGAUUUGUAAUUGAACACACAUUUGAUAAGGUUUGCACUUUUACUGCUUCAUCUCUUUCACUUGUACUAUAUUUGGUUAUCCACAAUCCUGUUUUACAUAUUAUGAGGAUCCAUCUGCUUCUUAUGGCAACAUAAUUUAUGUUAUACGAAUUGACUGCUAUUCAAUUUACUCAUAACGUAAAGCUUAGGAUGUAUGUGAAUGCUGGAAAGGUGAUCGACUUGACUCGAGGAGCAAUGCAUAUUCUAUGAAGCUCGUCUCGGUCCCAUCCAUCCGACAAUCCCUGUGGUCAAAUAAGUGGUGACCAAUCAAUAUAUGAUCAGGCCCAUCCAUCCGACAAUCCGACAAUCCCAGUGGUGACCACUCAACGUACGACCACGUGGUCUAAUCCACCUUAUAUAGUUUUCUUUCCGGUGGAAAUCUUUAUCUCCUCAAGCAAAUUUCCAUGGAUCCAGAACGUGGUCUUUACUUACAAAAAUGAGUGGGAUCCACGGGUUUUGUGAGUGAUAGAGUGGAGACCACACAUUGUCUGGAAUCCAUGGGAUUUUUUGCAACGUGAAUAUGGUGUUAAUCUAGCUUCCUUUAAAAGCCUUUAUGGGAAUCAAAUUAUUGCCAAUAUGUGUCCAAAAAUCAAUUUUGGUUAC